rnacentral:rRNA from 1 species
CCCUAUGGGGCGCAUAUUCUGCAGGGACUGGUCAAAGUACACCUGGGUGCACAUGAAUUUUCAGCCCAUGAGAAUGAAGCCGGACGAAGUGCUGAGCGGGCUUUUCCGGCUGUUCGUGGAGCUGACCGGCCUGGACAGGCUCAUCAUGCAGAAAAAAUAUUUCAAGGGCGCCGCCUGCAGGCUGUUCGGCGGGAAGCCGUCCCCCGGCGGAAAGCCCACUCUCCUUGCUGCCAGGUGAAUGCGCGGCGGUGGGCAUCAUUGACCAUCCCAAAAAACAAUGAUUCGGGGCAGGGGACAUCCCGCUCGGGAAGGCAAUGAAUUGGCGGGGGGGC